UACGUAGGGGGCAAGCGUUGUCCGGAUUCAUUGGGCGUAAAGAGCGUGUAGGCGGCCAGGUAGGUCGGUUGUGAAAACUGGAGGCUCAACCUUCAGACGUCGACCGAAACCAUCUGGCUAGAGUCCGGGAGAGGAGAGUGGAAUUCCUGGUGUAGCGGUGAAAUGCGCAGAUAUCAGGAAGAACACCAAUGGCGAAGGCAGCUCGCUGGGACGUGACUGACGCUGAGACGCGAAAGCGUGGGGAGCAAACAGG
rnacentral:rRNA from 1 species